GGGGAAUUUUCCGCAAUGGGCGAAAGCCUGACGGAGCAAUACCGCGUGAGGGAGGAAGGCUCUUGGGUCGUAAACCUCUUUUCUCAGGGAAUAAGUACUGAAGGUACCUGAGGAAUCAGCAUCGGCUAACUCCGUGCCAGCAGCCGCGGUAAUACGGAGGAUGCAAGCGUUAUCCGGAAUGAUUGGGCGUAAAGCGUCCGCAGGUGGCGAUGUAAGUCUGCUGUUAAAGCGUCUAGCUCAACUAGAUAAAAGCAGUGGAAACUACUUACGCUAGAGUACGUUCGGGGCAGAGGGAAUUCCUGGUGUAGCGGUGAAAUGCGUAGAGAUCAGGAAGAACACCGGUGGCGAAGGCGCUCUGCUAGGCCGUAACUGACACUGAGGGACGAAAGCUAGGGGAGCGAAUGGGAUUAGAUACCCCAGUAGUC
rnacentral:rRNA from 1 species